rnacentral:rRNA from 1 species
UACGGAGGGUGCGAGCGUUAAUCGGAAUUACUGGGCGUAAAGCGCGCGUAGGCGGUUUGUUAAGUCAGUUGUGAAAGCCCCGGGCUCAACCUGGGAACUGCAGUUGAUACUGACCGACUAGAGUACGAGAGAGGGAGGUAGAAUUCCAUGUGUAGCGGUGAAAUGCGUAGAUAUAUGGAGGAACACCGGUGGCGAAGGCGGUUCUCUGGGCAUUACCUGACGCUGAGGAGCGAAAGUGUGGGGAGCGAACAGG